CGAGUCGGCCGGGCGGUCGCGUCAUCACUGCGGGCCCGCGGUGAUGCCGAGGAACGUCCGGACUCCACAGGGCAGGGUGGUUGUUAACGGCAACCCGGGGCGACCCGCGGGAAAGUGCCACAGAAAACAGACCGCCCGACUCCAUCGGAGAUCGGGUAAGGGUGAAACGGUGGGGUAAGAGCCCACCAGCACCCCGGGUGACCGGGGUGGCUCGGUAAACCCCACCCGGAGCAAGGCCAAGAGGGACCCUCGGGUCCUGCGCAGGCGUUCGAGGGCGGCCCGCCCGAGCCUGCGGGUAGGCCGCUGGAGCGCACCGGCGACGGUGCGCCGAGAUGGAUGGCCGCCGCGCCCUCCUCGGAGGGCGGCACAAAAUCCGGCGUACAGGCCGACUCGUCCG
rnacentral:RNase_P_RNA from 1 species